rnacentral:misc_RNA from 1 species
CGUUUCUCCACUACACUUCCGUAUGCCGUAGAUUUCAGGGUUUUCAUUUUCUUUUCAUAUAAGCUUUUUAAAUCAGCCAUAACAAAUUCUUAACUUGAAAUGUCCCAAGAAAUUUAAGUUUCCAAGCUGGUUUGUUGAGCCAUGGUGAUAAGAUUAUCCAAAAUUUUGGGUCUAAUUUUAAUAUUUUGUGUGGAUGUGCCUCGUGAAAUAAUAGCAAUAGAAUUGAGAAUUCCCUUGACAGAUUGCUAGAAAUUAUAGUGG